rnacentral:rRNA from 1 species
UACAGAGGGUGCGAGCGUUAAUCGGAAUUACUGGGCGUAAAGCGUGCGUAGACGGCUAUCUAAGUCGGGUGUGAAAGCCCCGGGCUCAACCUGGGAAUUGCAUUCGAGACUGAAUAGCUAGGGUACGGUAGAGGGAAGUGGAAUUUCCGGUGUAGCGGUGAAAUGCGCAGAUAUCAGGAGGAACACCGGUGGCGAAGGCGGAUCUCUGGGCCUUACCUGACGCUCAGGCACGAAAGCUAGGGGAGCGAACAGG